rnacentral:rRNA from 1 species
UACAGUGGGGGCAAGCGUUGUUCGGAAUUACUGGGCGUAAAGGGCUCGUAGGCGGCCAACUAAGUCCGACGUGAAAUCCCAAAGCUUAACUUUGGAACUGCGUCGGAUACUGGAUGGCUUGAAUUCGGGAGAGGGAUGCAGAAUUCCAGGUGUAGCGGUGAAAUGCGUAGAUAUCUGGAGGAAUACCGGUGGCGAAGGCGGCAUCCUGGACCGACAUUGACGCUGAUGAGCGAAAGCGUGGGGAGCAAACAGG